GUGAAUGUGGUGUCUCUUCACAGCAACAGAAACCCUAAUUAAGACUAUUAGAACGGCCCCUGUGCAAGGAUGAUAUACAAAUUUAUGAGGCAUUCCAUACUUUA
rnacentral:snRNA from 1 species